rnacentral:rRNA from 1 species
CACCGCCCGUCACACCAUGGGAGUUGGUCAUACCUGAAGAUGGUGUUCUAACCCGAUAAGGGAGGAAGCCAGCCACGGUGUGGUCAGCGACUGGGGUG